rnacentral:rRNA from 1 species
GACGAACGCUGGCGGCGUGCUUAACACAUGCAAGUCGAACGGUGAAGCACCUUCCUUUUGGUGGGUGUGGAUGAGUGGCGAACGGAUGAGUAACACGUGAGUAACCUGCCCCCUUCUUCUGGAUAACCGCAUGAAAGUGUGGCUAAUACGGGAUAUUCUGGGUCUGUCGCAUGGCGGGCCUGGGAAAGAUAUUGUUUCGGUGGGGGAUGGGCUCGCGGUCUAUCAGCUUGUUGGUGGGGUGAUGGCCUACCAAGGCGGUAACGGGUAGCCGGCCUGAGAGGGUGGACGGCCACACUGGGACUGAGACACGGCCCAGACUCCUACGGGAGGCAGCAGUGGGGAAUAUUGCACAAUGGGCGCAAGCCUGAUGCAGCGACGCCGCGUGAGGGAUGGAGGCCUUCGGGUUGUAAACCUCUUUCGCCAGUGAAGCAGGCCUGUCCAUUUUGUGGGUGGGUUGACGGUAGCUGGAUAAGAAGCGCCGGCUAACUACGUG